rnacentral:rRNA from 1 species
UACGUAGGUGGCGAGCGUUGUCCGGAUUUACUGGGCGUAAAGGGCGUGUAGGCGGCUUUGCAAGUCGGGUGUGAAAGCCCUCAGCUCAACUGAGGAAGUGCGCCCGAAACUGCAGAGCUUGAGUGCCGGAGAGGGUGGCGGAAUUCCCCAAGUAGAGGUGAAAUUCGUAGAUAUUGGGAAGAACACCGGUGGCGAAGGCGGCGAGCUGGCCUGUUACUGACGCUGAGGCGCGACAGCGUGGGGAGCAAACAGG